GGGAGCUUGCUCCUGGAUUCAGCGGCGGACGGGUGAGUAAUGCCUAGGAAUCUGCCUGGUAGUGGGGGAUAACGUCCGGAAACGGGCGCUAAUACCGCAUACGUCCUGAGGGAGAAAGUGGGGGAUCUUCGGACCUCACGCUAUCAGAUGAGCCUAGGUCGGAUUAGCUAGUUGGUGGGGUAAAGGCCUACCAAGGCGACGAUCCGUAACUGGUCUGAGAGGAUGAUCAGUCACACUGGAACUGAGACACGGUCCAGACUCCUACGGGAGGCAGCAGUGGGGAAUAUUGGACAAUGGGCGAAAGCCUGAUCCAGCCAUGCCGCGUGUGUGAAGAAGGUCUUCGGAUUGUAAAGCACUUUAAGUUGGGAGGAAGGGCAGUAAGUUAAUACCUUGCUGUUUUGACGUUACCAACAGAAUAAGCACCGGCUAACUUCGUGCCAGCAGCCGCGGUAAUACGAAGGGUGCAAGCGUUAAUCGGAAUUACUGGGCGUAAAGCGCGCGUAGGUGGUUCAGCAAGUUGGAUGUGAAAUCCCCGGGCUCAACCUGGGAACUGCAUCCAAAACUACUGAGCUAGAGUACGGUAGAGGGUGGUGGAAUUUCCUGUGUAGCGGUGAAAUGCGUAGAUAUAGGAAGGAACACCAGUGGCGAAGGCGACCACCUGGACUGAUACUGACACUGA
rnacentral:rRNA from 1 species